GCCGUAGUGGCGGAAUGGUAGACGCAGGAGACUUAAAAUCUCCCGGACGGUAACGUCUGUACGGGUUCGAGUCCCGUCUGCGGUA
rnacentral:tRNA from 1 species